CAUCACGCAUCUUCACUUGAGCUGGUCCUGUGGAAGCAUCAGAAGCCAAGGAAUCAUAAUCUGCGUCGGUGUUUUUGCUUCUACCAUUGCUGCGGCCACUGCUAACAUUACUCCCUUCACUGCCAUUGGUUUCGGCAUCAUCACUAUCCACCGGGGAGCCCAGCGUGUAGAGACACAGAAAGAGAGGCCAAAGACAACACAGUGGAAGGAAGAUGAAACUACAAAAAGAGCUGAAGGAAGACCUAAUGCUUCUUCAGAACACCCGACAAUCCAACACACACACCUAAUGCUUCUUCAGAACACCCGGACAAUCCAACAUUGCAGCCUGAGAAGAGCACUGAAGCCUGAGACAAUCUCUGCCCUCUCAGGGAAGGCAAUGGAGAAGAGGGGUUGAAUUGUGUGAGGCUAAGAGCUUUGCAAGGCGUUGCUUGUGCCUGUGUGUGGUAGCUUGUCAUGGGGCUGCAGAAAGGAUGGCAGUGCCUUUAAAUGGGGAAGACGGCCUAUCCUUCCAACUGUUCCUCAUAACUUUCUCAACUAUUUCUGUACCUUCUGUUGCUACCAAAGCCUGGAGGGAAAACAUUUGCUUGCAAUGCAGCGUUCCAGGUAUUUCCA